rnacentral:rRNA from 6 species
AAAGACGGUCUUGCUGUCACUUAUAGAUGGAUCCGCGCUGCAUUAGCUAGUUGGUAAGGUAACGGCUUACCAAGGCAACGAUGCAUAGCCGACCUGAGAGGGUGAUCGGCCACACUGGAACUGAGACACGGUCCAGACUCCUACGGGAGGCAGCAGUAGGGAAUCUUCCGCAAUGGGCGAAAGCCUGACGGAGCAACGCCGCGUGAGUGAUGAAGGUCUUCGGAUCGUAAAACUCUGUUAUUAGGGAAGAACAUAUGUGUAAGUAACUGUGCACAUCUUGACGGUACCUAAUCAGAAAGCCACGGCUAACUACGUGCCAGCAGCCGCGGUAAUACGUAGGUGGCAAGCGUUAUCCGGAAUUAUUGGGCGUAAAGCGCGCGUAGGCGGUUUUUUAAGUCUGAUGUGAAAGCCCACGGCUCAACCGUGGAGGGUCAUUGGAAACUGGAAAACUUGAGUGCAGAAGAGGAAAGUGGAAUUCCAUGUGUAGCGGUGAAAUGCGCAGAGAUAUGGAGGAACACCAGUGGCGAAGGCGACUUUCUGGUCUGUAACUGACGCUGAUGUGCGAAAGCGUGGGGAUCAAACAGGAUUAGAUACCCUGGUAGUCCACGCCGUAAACGAUGAGUGCUAAGUGUUAGGGGGUUUCCGCCCCUUAGUGCUGCAGCUAACGCAUUAAGCACUCCGCCUGGGGAGUACGACCGCAAGGUUGAAACUCAAAGGAAUUGACGGGGACCCGCACAAGCGGUGGAGCAUGUGGUUUAAUUCGAAGCAACGCGAAGAACCUUACCAAAUCUUGACAUCCUUUGACAACUCUAGAGAUAGAGCUUUCCCCUUCGGGGGACAAAGUGACAGGUGGUGCAUGGUUGUCGUCAGCUCGUGUCGUGAGAUGUUGGGUUAAGUCCCGCAACGAGCGCAACCCUUAAGCUUAGUUGCCAUCAUUAAGUUGGGCACUCUAAGUUGACUGCCGGUGACAAACCGGAGGAAGGUGGGGAUGACGUCAAAUCAUCAUGCCCCUUAUGAUUUGGGCUACACACGUGCUACAAUGGACAAUACAAAGGGCAGCGAAACCGUGAGGUCAAGCAAAUCCCAUAAAGUUGUUCUCAGUUCGGAUUGUAGUCUGCAACUCGACUACAUGAAGCUGGAAUCGCUAGUAAUCGUAGAUCAGCAUGCUACGGUGAAUACGUUCCCGGGUCUUGUACACACCGCCCGUCACACCACGAGAGUUUGUAACACCCGAAGCCGGUGGAGUAACCUUUUAGGAGCUAGCCGUCGAAGGUGGGACAAAUGAUUGGGGUGAAGUCGUAACAAGGUAGCCGUAUCGGAAGGUGCGGCUGGAUCACCU